UACGAAGGGUGCAAGCGUUGUUCGGAUUUACUGGGCGUAAAGCGUCCGUAGGUGGUUUGUUAAGUCAGGGGUGAAAUCCCGGGGCCCAACCCCGGAACUGCCUUUGAUACUGGCAAGCUGGAGCGUGAUAGAGGAAGAUGGAAUAUCUGGUGUAGGGGUGAAAUCCGUAGAUAUCAGAUGGAACACCAAUGGCGAAGGCGGCCUGCUGGACUGAAACUGACGUUGAGGCUCGAAAGCGUGGGGAGCAAACAGG
rnacentral:rRNA from 1 species